rnacentral:rRNA from 1 species
AGAGUUUGAUCCUGGCUCAGAACGAACGCUGGCGGCGUGGAUAAGACAUGCAAGUCGAACGAGAGAAUUGCUAGCUUGCUAAUAAUUCUCUAGUGGCGCACGGGUGAGUAACACGUGAGUAACCUGCCCCCGAGAGCGGGAUAGCCCUGGGAAACUGGGAUUAAUACCGCAUAGAAUCGCAAGAUUAAAGCAGCAAUGCGCUUGGGGAUGGGCUCGCGGCCUAUUAGUUAGUUGGUGAGGUAACGGCUCACCAAGGCGAUGACGGGUAGCCGGUCUGAGAGGAUGUCCGGCCACACUGGAACUGAGACACGGUCCAGACACCUACGGGUGGCAGCAGUCGAGAAUCAUUCACAAUGGGGGAAACCCUGAUGGUGCGACGCCGCGUGGGGGAAUGAAGGUCUUCGGAUUGUAAACCCCUGUCAUGUGGGAGCAAAUUAAAAAGAUAGUACCACAAGAGGAAGAGACGGCUAACUCUGUGCCAGCAGCCGCGGUAAUACAGAGGUCUCAAGCGUUGUUCGGAAUCACUGGGCGUAAAGCGUGCGUAGGCUGUUUCGUAAGUCGUGUGUGAAAGGCGCGGGCUCAACCCGCGGACGGCACAUGAUACUGCGAGACUAGAGUAAUGGAGGGGGAACCGGAAUUCUCGGUGUAGCAGUGAAAUGCGUAGAUAUCGAGAGGAACACUCGUGGCGAAGGUGGGUUCAUGGACAUUGACGGACAGGGAUGCAGGAAGCCGAGGGGUGCGAACAGGAGUAGAUACGCGGGUGGUCCAGGCAGGAAACGGUGCGUAUCUUGGUAGUCGGGUAAUGGUCUCCCCUGCUUGCGAGGAGAGAAUGGAUUUAGGGGACGGUCGUCAGAGUGGGGUAGCAUGAUUAAAAAUCACAGAAAUGGGGCGGGUCCCGCGCUAGUGGCGGAGUAUGUGCGCUUUAUUCGACAUGUCUGUACAGAGCGUUAUCCCGGCAUUACAUGGAUAUGCAGUACAUCCGCAAGCGUGUGAGUUGUUGGAGGUGUUAGCCAGGUGAUGCAUGACCGUAGUGAGUUAGUGUGGUGAGAAGUUGGGGAAAGUCCAACAAGGAGCGCACCUCUCGUUGCCAGUUGCCAGCUUGUGAAGGUGGGGAGUCUGGAGAGGUUUCCCAGAUCAAAAGGGGGCAAGGAGGGGAAGACGAUCAGGUCAGUAUGGGCUCUAUCCCUCAGGCACGCCCGGGUUUUCCAAUGCCCAGUACAGAGGGGGCUGAAGCGCGGGAGGGGGAGGGAAUCCCGAUAUCUGGCCCCAGUUAGGUCUGUAGGCGGACAACCCCCAUACUAUGAAGCCGGCAUCGCUAGUAAUGCAGCAUCAGCUUCGGCGCCGGGAAUACGUUCCCGUGUCUUGCACUCACCGCCCGUCA